rnacentral:tRNA from 1 species
UGGGCUAUAGUUCAACAGUAGAACGCUUGCCUAGUAUGUGUGAGGUGCUGGGUUUGAUCCCCAGUAACACAA